UACCAGCACCCCGAGUGGUCGGGACGUUUAUUGGGCCUAAAGCAUCCGUAGCCGGUUCUACAAGUCUUCCGUUAAAUCCACCUGCCUAACAGAUGGGCUGCGGAAGAUACUAUAGAGCUAGGAGGCGGGAGAGGCAAGCGGUACUCGAUGGGUAGGGGUAAAAUCCGUUGAUCCAUUGAAGACCACCAGUGGCGAAGGCGGCUUGCCAGAACGCGCUCGACGGUGAGGGAUGAAAGCUGGGGGAGCAAACCGG
rnacentral:rRNA from 1 species